AAACUAGGAUUAGAUACCCUAUUAUUAGGAAUAAUUCAUUGUUAGUAAAUAUUAAAUACGAAAACAAAAAAUUAUGGCGGUAUCUUAAGCUUUUCAGAGGAAUUUGCUCUUUUAUGGAUAAAACACCUAAAUCUUACUAAAAUUUGCAGUGCAGUUUGUAUACCACUAUAAAAGUAAUAAUUAGUUAUUAUUACUUAAACUUUUUAAAUAAAAAGAAAAUUAAGUCAAGGUGCAGCAAAAAUUUUAGGAUGAAGUGAAUUACAAUGCUUUUUAGAAAUAUUAAAAAUUGAAAUUUAAAAUUUUAGGAUUUGAAAGUAAAAAUUUAAUAAAAUGAUUUUUUGAAUUAAGUUCUGAGAUAUGUACAUAUCGCCCGUCGCUCUUUUUGUAAAGAUAAGUCGUAACAUAG
rnacentral:rRNA from 1 species